rnacentral:rRNA from 1 species
AGAAGUAACAAUUUCAUCUACGGCCAUGCCUAAUCUCGUCUGAUCUCGGAAGCUAAGCAGUGUCGGGUUUGGUUAGUCCUUGGAUGGGAGACCACCUAAGAAUACCAGGUGCUGCAGGCG